GCUAAUCUGCGAAAAGCGUCGGUAAGGUGAUAUGAACCGUUAUAACCGGCGAUGUCCGAAUGGGGAAACCCAGUGCAAUUCGUUGCACUAUCGUUAACUGAAUACAUAGGUUAACGAGGCGAACCGGGGGAACUGAAACAUCUAAGUACCCCGAGGAAAAGAAAUCAACCGAGAUUCCCCCAGUAGCGGCGAGCGAACGGGGAGCAGCCCAGAGUCUGAAUCAGCUUGUGUGUUAGUGGAACGGUCUGGAAAGUCCGACGGUACAGGGUGAUAGUCCCGUACACCAAAAUGCACAGGCUGUGAACUCGAAGAGUAGGGCGGGACACGUGGUAUCCUGUCUGAAUAUGGGGGGACCAUCCUCCAAGGCUAAAUACUCCUGACUGACCGAUAGUGAACCAGUACCGUGAGGGAAAGGCGAAAAGAACCCCGGCGAGGGGAGUGAAAAAGAACCUGAAACCGUGUACGUACAAGCAGUGGGAGCACCUUCGGGUGUGACUGCGUACCUUUUGUAUAAUGGGUCAGCGACUUAUAUUCUGUAGCAAGGUUAACCGUAUAGGGGAGCCGCAGGGAAACCGAGUCUUAACUGGGCGUUAAGUUGCAGGGUAUAGACCCGAAACCCGGUGAUCUAGCCAUGGGCAGGUUGAAGGUUGGGUAACACUAACUGGAGGACCGAACCGACUAAUGUUGAAAAAUUAGCGGAUGACUUGUGGCUGGGGGUGAAAGGCCAAUCAAACCGGGAGAUAGCUGGUUCUCCCCGAAAGCU
rnacentral:rRNA from 1 species